ACAGACCAGUCUUCUUUUAUGUGCACGUACUUGGAUACGAUACAGAGAAGAUUAGCAUGGCCCCUGCGCAAGGAGGCAUUCAUGAGCUUUCUUAAAUACAG
ensembl:snRNA U6 U6 spliceosomal RNA